rnacentral:rRNA from 1 species
AGUGAACGCUGGCGGUAGGCCUAACACAUGCAAGUCGAACGGCAGCACAGUAAGAGCUUGCUCUUACGGGUGGCGAGUGGCGGACGGGUGAGGAAUACAUCGGAAUCUACUUUUUCGUGGGGGAUAACGUAGGGAAACUUACGCUAAUACCGCAUACGACCUACGGGUGAAAGCAGGGGAUCUUCGGACCUUGCGCGAUUGAAUGAGCCGAUGUCGGAUUAGCUAGUUGGCGGGGUAAAGGCCCACCAAGGCGACGAUCCGUAGCUGGUCUGAGAGGAUGAUCAGCCACACGGGAACUGAGACAAGGUACAGACUCCUAAGGGAGGCAGCAGUGGGGAAUAUUGGACAAAGGGCGCAAGCCUGAUCCAGCCAUACCGCGUGGGUGAAGAAGGCCUUCGGGUUGUAAAGCCCUUUUGUUGGGAAAGAAAAGAAGCAGGUUAAUACCCCGCUGUUCUGACGGUACCAAAAGAAUAAGCACCGGCUAACUUCGUG